CCGGCGCCGCCGGGAAGCGCUUUGCAUUGUGGGAACUCCUUCCUUUCUCGCUCCCCGGCCAUCUUGGCGGCUGGUCUUGGUUGGGGGCCGUCGCGCAUCUAGGGCAGGAAGAUGGUGGCCGCAAAGAAGACGAAAAAGUCGCUGGAGUCGAUCAACUCAAGGCUCCAGCUCGUUAUGAAAAGUGGAAAGUAUGUGCUGGGUUACAAGCAGACUUUGAAAAUGAUCAGACAAGGCAAAGCGAAAUUGGUCAUCCUCGCCAACAACUGCCCAGCUUUGAGGUAAUUGAAGGAACCUGAGCUUGCGUCUCCCGCUGCAAACUCAACGAAAUCUGAAAUAGAGUAUUAUGCCAUGUUAGCCAAAACUGGUGUUCAUCACUACAGUGGCAAUAAUAUUGAAUUGGGCACAGCAUGUGGAAAAUACUACAGAGUAUGUACACUGGCCAUCAUUGAUCCAGGUGACUCUGAUAUCAUUAGAAGCAUGCCAGAACAGACUGGUGAAAAGUAAAUCAUGUACAUUUUUUCUUUAAUAAAACUUGCUAGAGCUUGUUUUAAAACAGUGUAUCCAUUUUAUUUAUGUC